AGAGUUUGAUCAUGGCUCAGAACGAACGCUGGCGGCGUGGAUAAGACAUGCAAGUCGAACGCUGAUCACAGGGUAGCAAUAUUCUGUGGUCGGAGUGGCGCAAGGGUGCGUAACACGUGGGUAAUCUGCCAUAAAGUUUGGGAUAACUCGCUGAAAGGCGAGCUAAUACCGGAUGUGAUCAUCGGAAGGCAUUUUCUGAUGAUUAAAGCUGGGGACCGUAAGGCCUGGCGCUUUUUGAUGAACCCGCGGCCUAUCAGCUAGUUGGUGAGGUAACGGCCCACCAAGGCUAAGACGGGUAGCUGGUCUGAGAGGACGACCAGCCACACUGGAACUGAGACACGGUCCAGACACCUACGGGUGGCAGCAGUCGAGAAUUUUUCACAAUGGGCGCAAGCCUGAUGGAGCGACGCCGCGUGGGGGAUGAAUGGCUUCGGCCCGUAAACCCCUGUCAUUUGCGAACAAACCUUGCUAUUUAAAAGAUGGUAAGCUGAUUGUAGCGAAAGAGGAAGGGACGGCUAACUCUGUGCCAGCAGCCGCGGUAAUACAGAGGUCCCAAGCGUUGUUCGGAUUCACUGGGCGUAAAGGGUGCGUAGGUGGCGGGGUAAGUCUGAUGUGAAAUCUCCAAGCUUAACUUGGAAAUGGCAUUGGAAACUACUCUGCUCGAGGGUUGGAGGGGGGGACUGGAAUACUUGGUGUAGCAGUGAAAUGCGUAGAUAUCAAGUGGAACACCAGUGGCGAAGGCGAGUCCCUGGACAACUCCUGACACUGAGGCACGAAAGCUAGGGGAGCAAACAGGAUUAGAUACCCUAGUAGUCC
rnacentral:rRNA from 1 species